rnacentral:rRNA from 1 species
CAAAAACAUGUCCGUUUGUAGAUAUAAUCGGUCUAGCCUGCUCACUGCACAUAAGUUGUUUAAGAGCCGCGGUAUUUUGACCGUGCAAAGGUAGCAUAAUCAUUAGUUUCUUAAUUGGGAGCUUGUAUGAAGGGUUGGACAAAGAAAAAGCUGUCUCUGUUAUAUAAAUUGAACUUAACUUUUAAGUGAAAAGGCUUAAAUAUUUCAGGGGGACGAUAAGACCCUAUAAAGCUUUAUAUAGUAAUUAAGUUUAAUUAAAUUAGUGUAUAAAUUUUUGAGUUGAUUGCUGUAUUUUAUUGGGGCGAUAUGAGUAUAAUUAAUAUUAACUGCUUAGUAAAAAUACAAUGAUAAGUGGAAUGAAAUAAAUGAUCCUUUUUUAAAGAUUAAAAGACUAAGUUACUUUAGGGAUAACAGCGUUAUUUCUUUUGAGAGUUCAUAUCGAAAAAGAAGUUUGCGACCUCGAUGUUGAAUUAAAAUGUCUAUAUAGUGCAGCCGCUAUAUAAGAAGGUCUGUUCGACCUUUAAAUUUUUACGUGAUCUGGUUCUCAAAACC